rnacentral:rRNA from 1 species
GAUGAACGCUGGCGGCGUGCCUAAUACAUGCAAGUCGAGCGAAUGGAUUAAGAGCUUGCUCUUAUGAAGUUAGCGGCGGACGGGUGAGUAACACGUGGGUAACCUGCCCAUAAGACUGGGAUAACUCCGGGAAACCGGGGCUAAUACCGGAUAACAUUUUGAACCGCAUGGUUCGAAAUUGAAAGGCGGCUUCGGCUGUCACUUACGGAUGGACCCGCGUCGCAUUAGCUAGUUGGUGAGGUAACGGCUCACCAAGGAAACGAUGCGUAGCCGACCUGAGAGGGUGAUCGGCCACACUGGGACUGAGACACGGCCCAGACUCCUACGGGAGGCAGCAGUAGGGAAUCUUCCGCAAUGGACGAAAGUCUGACGGAGCAACGCCGCGUGAGUGAUGAAGGCUUUCGGGUCGUAAAACUCUGUUGUUAGGGAAGAACAAGUGCUAGUUGAAUAAGCUGGCACCUUGACGGUACCUAACCAGAAAGCCACGGCUAACUACGUGCCAGCAGCCGCGGUAA